GGAGUCGAGUAUGAAUGGGUUUACGGAAACAAGCUGUCUCUUUUUGGUUUUAUUGAAGUUUCUUUAAGGGUGCAAAGUCCCUUGAUUAGAAAAAAGACGAGAAGACCCUUAGAGUUUUUACCAAAGAUAAAAAUUUAUUUGAGUUUUUGCUGGGGCGGCAAAGAGACAAAUAGUUAACUCUCUUUUUAUUGUUUUUAGAAGACGAAAAUGUUAAGAAUCGUUAAACUACCUUAGGGAUAACAGCAUAAUUAAGUUUUAGUUUGUGACCUCGAUGUUGGACUAGGAAGACUUUUGACCAGCAGUCAA
rnacentral:rRNA from 1 species